GCUGUGUCCCCGCGAAUGUAUGUACAUACAGACGUGCCUCAUUCCUAUAUUUACGGGGGCCAAUUACUUAAUAGUGCGACAACAAAGAAAAACGUAAACAAAUGUGUAGGGUAGGGGAACUGCAGCGCCAAGAGCGAAGGGGAACCCACCCAUGGGGCAAGUUGCCAACUUGUUGGGGUGCCAUCGCAUGAAUCAAGCGAGUGAUUGGUGACUCUCGCUGACGCCUGGCCACAAAACUGAAGUGCUCUUUGGCCACUGAUGUAAAACGAGCAGGAGUACACGCCCUGUUCACGGGACCGCCGUUCGUUGUCCCCCAAAAAUACUGAGGGAGACACCAAUCGGGCGGGCAGAGUGCAAUCAACUCGAGAAUUCGCCGCCCAAGGCGAACAUUGGAUUGAAAUCUGUGCUGCAUUACUCAUACGCAGCGAGAGCCGGAGUCGAAACUCUGAAAUACUGAUAAUUGGCUAUGGUUUACAAAUCAAAUAAUGCAAAUUGUGCUAAACGCACAGACCAGAUGAAAACAAGUUAGUAGAGGGAGGAGCUAGCUGUGGGAGAGGCUGUGCCAGUCCAGAUAAACAAGUUCUAGGCGCCAUGGACUGGUGCGUUCUAGUAUAUCUUUUUCAAAUAUUUACAAAUAUGUAGAUAUGUAUGAAUGUACAUAUAUGUAUAUGCUUAUGUAUAUGUAUGUAUAUGUAUUUACGUAAUGUUUGUUGUCUGUUUUGGUCGCUUAUCGCCCCUAGAGGCAGUGGCAGAGACAGAGCCACAGCCAUGACACUUAUUCUUUCUGUCGCUUGCUGCUCGUUCAUUUAUUUUGGUUUUCUAGCUUUUUCGACUUGUUUCUUCUUGGCGUGCCCGCGUUCAUUAUGAUUACCCGUAUCCGUACCUCAAGCGAUUUUUGUUUGUUUUGGUUCGGGAAUUGGCAUUUAGUGAAUUUUUCUCUCUAACAUUUCCUCUAUGGCGGCGCUUGGCAACAGUUUUCCUGUUCGUUCUGUUCGAGUUCUGGCUCGCUCUCGCUCUCACUCUCUCUCGUUCUCUCUCUGUUUUAUUAUAUUUUUGGCACAUGGCAAUUAAAACGUGUAGACGCUAUAAAUAGCCGCUCUGAUAUAUGGAGUGCAUAUGAAAACGUGAAAACGUGUAUGGGGAUUGGCUCGUUUCAAUUGGUUUUUCCCCAUCCCACACGCCAGUUGGCGAGACUUAUAUUAUUGGAAACAAUGAAAAACAUUCUGUGUGAUGCCAAAGGGAAACGGGCGAAACUAUUUACCAUGGGGGGGACCCCACAUUCAAUCCACAAUUUUCGGUGUGUCUGUGCGUGAUAAAGUGAUCCUGGAUGAUCCUGGAACAACAACAAACAACUGCACUUAUCCGUAUGCUAAUCGUAUUUUAAAGCAUAUUUUUACCACUUUUUUUUUACCACAA